UUAACCCUGCGGUGUUCGCGAUCGCUCAGAAUGCGUCUGAACCGACAUUCGCUUAUGUAUCGGGGCCAAGACAAGGUGGUUGUGCAGGCCCGUCUUCGAGCGGGAAGCCUUAAAGCUUUGCGAGCCUUAUUUUUAGAAUAACGGGUUUAGACCAAAAAGCCAACGGCACACGCAGGGCCCCU
rnacentral:other from 1 species